UAGUCACUGUUUUAUGUUUAUUUG
rnacentral:piRNA from 1 species